rnacentral:rRNA from 1 species
AUUGAACGCUGGCGGCAGGCCUAACACAUGCAAGUCGAGCGGGGUUUUCGGACCUAGCGGCGGACGGGUGAGUAAUGCGUAGGAAGCUACCCGACAGAGGGGGAUACCAGUUGGAAACGACUGUUAAUACCCGCAUAAUGUCUACGGACCAAAGUGUGGGACCUUCGGGCCACAUGCUGUCGGAUGCGCCUACGUGGGAUUAGCUAGUUGGUGAGGUAAUGGCUCACCAAGGCGACGAUCCCUAGCUGGUUUGAGAGGAGUGAUCAGCCACACCUGGAACUGAGACACGGUCCAGACUCCUACGGGAGGCAGCAGUGGGGAAUAUUGGACAAU